rnacentral:rRNA from 1 species
CACUCCUGCGGGAGGCAGCAGUGGGGAAUUUUGGACAAUGGGCGAAAGCCUGAUCCAGCCAUGCCGCGUGCAGGAUGAAGGCCUUCGGGUUGUAAACUGCUUUUGUACGGAACGAAACGGCCUUUUCUAAUAAAGAGGGCUAAUGACGGUACCGUAAGAAUAAGCACCGGCUAACUACGUGCCAGCAGCCGCGGUAAUACGUAGGGUGCAAGCGUUAAUCGGAAUUACUGGGCGUAAAGCGUGCGCAGGCGGUUAUGUAAGACAGUUGUGAAAUCCCCGGGCUCAACCUGGGAACUGCAUCUGUGACUGCAUAGCUAGAGUACGGUAGAGGGGGAUGGAAUUCCGCGUGUAGCAGUGAAAUGCGUAGAUAUGCGGAGGAACACCGAUGGCGAAGGCAAUCCCCUGGACCUGUACUGACGCUCAUGCACGAAAGCGUGGGGAGCAAACAGGAUUAGAAACCCCUGUAGUCCCAU